rnacentral:rRNA from 1 species
AGUGAUAUAUUUCAACGGCCGCGGUAUUAUGACCGUGCAAAGGUAGCGUAAUCACUUGUCUUUUAAAUAAAGACCUGUAUGAAAGGCAAAACGAAAGUUCAACUGUCUCUUUAAUCCUAUCAAUAAAAUUAAUCUUUCCGUGCAGAAGCGGAAAUAAAUCUAUAAGACGAGAAGACCCUAUGGAGCUUAAAACAUAAAAUUAAUUAUAUUAUAAUAUUAACCAAUAGGUAAAAAAUAAAUUUAUAUAAUAUGAUUUGAGGUUUUGGGUUGGGGCGACCACGGAAGAAAAGAAACCCUCCGAGAUAAACAAUUUAGAAAUACAUUUCGAAAGCUAAGACAUUUAUUACAAAUGAUCCACUAAGUGACCAACGAACCAAGUUACCCUAGGGAUAACAGCGCAAUCCUUUCUAAGAGUUCAUAUCGACGAAUGGGUUUACGACCUCGAUGUUGGAUCAGGACACCCCAAUGGUGUAGCUGCUAUUAAAGGUUCGUUUGUUCAACGAUUAAAGUCCUACGUGAUCUGAG